AAGUCCCAGUUCGGAUUGAAGGCUGAAAUUCGCCUUCAUGAAGCCGGAAUUGCUAGUAAUGGCAGGUCAGCAUACUGCCGUGAAUACGUUCCCGGGCCUUGUACACACCGCCCGUCACACCAUGAGAGUUGGCAAUACCCAACGUACGUGAUCUAACCCGCAAGGGAGGAAGCGUCCUAAGGUAGGGUCAGCGAUUGGGGUGAAGUCGUAACAAGGUACC
rnacentral:rRNA from 1 species